rnacentral:rRNA from 1 species
UUGCUCUCUGGGUGGCGAGUGGCGGAUUGGGUGAGGAAUACAUCGGAAUCUACCUUUUCGUGGGGGAUAACGUAGGGAAACUUACGCUAAUACCGCAUACGACCUUAGGGGGAAAGCGGAGGACCUUCGGGCUUCGCGGGGAUAGAUGAGCCGA